UUAAAAGAUCGUCGCCAAAUUCCGCCAUCAUCUCCACCACCGCGGAUCAUCCCGUGAAUUGCAACAGGUUCUGGUUUCCUACCUUACUGCUGCUGCAAUUUAGUUAUCCCUAUCCAAAAAUCCAAAAAAAAAAAAAAUUGUUCCUCUAUUGUUGUAUAAACUUUUCGUCACAAAGUUUUCAUCUCUACAACGAAAGAUACAUUGCA
rnacentral:lncRNA from 1 species